rnacentral:rRNA from 1 species
UACGUAGGUGGCAAGCGUUGUCCGGAUUUAUUGGGUUUAAAGGGUGCGUAGGUGGUCUAUUAAGUCAGUGCUGAAAUAUCCCGGCUUAACCGGGAGGGUGGCAUUGAUACUGAUGGACUUGAGUGGAGUUGAGGUAGGCGGAAUUUACGGUGUAGCAGUGAAAUGCGUAGAUAUCGUAAGGAAGACCAGUGGCGAAGGCGAGUCUCUGGACAGUUACUGACACUGAGGCACGAAGGCCAGGGGAGCAAACGGG